rnacentral:rRNA from 1 species
AGUGAACGCUGGCGGUAGGCCUAACACAUGCAAGUCGAACGGCAGCACAGGAGAGCUUGCUCUCUGGGUGGCGAGUGGCGGACGGGUGAGGAAUACAUCGGAAUCUACUCUGUCGUGGGGGAUAACGUAGGGAAACCUACGCUACUACCGCAUACGACCUACGGGUGAAAGCAGGGGAUCUUCGGACCUUGCGCGAUUGAAUGCGCCGAUGUCGGAUUAGCUAGUUGGCGGGGUAAAGGCCCACCAAGGCGUCGAUCCGUAGCUGGUCUGAGAGGAUGAUCAGCCACACUGGAACUGAGACACGGUCCAGACUCCUACGGGAGGCAGCAGUGGGGAAUAUUGGACAAUGGGCGCAAGCCUGAUCCAGCCAUACCGCGUGGGUGAAGAAGGCCUUCGGGUUGUAAAGCCCUUUUGUUGGGAAAGAAAUCCAGCUGGCUAAUACCCGGUUGGGAUGACGGUACCCAAAGAAUAAGCACCGGCUAACUUCGUGCCAGCCGCCGCGGUAA